AAGUCGUGCAUUGGACACUUUAGCAACAAGUCCUUAAAAUGCUCCCAAACUUUAUAUAAAUUUUCGUCCUCUAAUUGUUUGAAGGAGGUUAUGUCGUUCCUCAGCCU